CAGAGCACGAGGAAGUGAGUUGCUAAGGAAAUCCUCCCUGACGACCGGAAGGCGCUGUAAACAAGGAACAAGGCUGGAUCAGCGUUAUCAGCUCAUUGCCGCGUUGCCGAUCAAUGACUCGAAUGUGGUGAUUGUGGACUCUUAUGGCAGAAUUGCAUGUAAUUGGACAGAUCAUCGGGGCCACCGGAUUCCCACAGAACAGCCUCUUCUGCAAAUGGGGUGUACACGCAGGAGGAGCAUGGAGACUUCUUUCUGGUCUGAAGGAAGGCCAGACUCAGGUGGACAUGCCUCAAACUGGGGACAUGGCAUACUGGAGUCAUCCCAUUGAUUUGCACUACACUACUAAGGGCCUACAAGGAUGGCCAAAGCUUCAUCUCCAGGUGUGGCAUCAGGACUCUUUUGGCCGAUGCCAACUGUAUGGUUAUGGUUAUAUCCACAUACCAUCAAGCCCAGGACAGCAUCGUCUGCAGUGCGUGACAUGGCGACCGCUGGGAUCCUGGCAGGAUCAACUUGCUGAGAUGUUUGUUGGAGGAGGUCCACAGCUGCGCUCGCCAGAUCUCAUUUACAGCGGCGCAGACAGAUACAGACUCCACACUGUUGGCAUGGGCACAGUUGAACUAGAGCUGUGUGUUAUUCUGCGCCACUUUGACAGAUACGGUGUGGAGAGCUGAGAACGGACAACAGGUUGUCAUAUAUUUCAGGUCUAUGAUAUAUGGAGUGGAAAAGCAGGGUUGAAAGUAGGAUACCUCCUUUGGGAUUUGAGUCAUCAUUCUGUAAACACGAGAUGUGGAAGAUAUUCUAACAGAUGAACUGCAGCCCUAGCAUAAUUUCGGAGUUGUGCCAUUUAACUGUUAGCUUAACAUACCCAACUAACCUCAUUAAUUACUUGGUCAUUAAACAUUUUUUACAUACAAAACUUUUGAAAAAUAUACUUUAAAUAAUGAAUAAUAACACAUAACAUAGCAGUAUCCUAAAGGCCACAAUGUACAUGUGUCGAAGUUUAGCACAACAGCAGAAAACAUUUCCAUGUCAUAGCAGGUGAAGUCCCAGAGCACACCCACCUAUUACACUAUAUAGCUACUUUACUUGAAGUUUAUAGUAUAAAUCGUUCUAAUUCUUUGAAAAUGGUGAAUCCAUGAAUUCAAACUACAACGAUAAUGAUGCAGAAGAUCAAUAUAAUAGGAAGAACUUUCAGAACGUUUUACUUUUUUCUAGCUGAUUAGCAAUACGAACAUUGAUCUAAAGGAAAAUCUUUCAUAACAUCUUUUUUUGUUUUGUUCUAAAUGUUUAAUUCUUCAGUGGAUGGCAAUAACCAGCUGACUCCAGGCAUAUGAAUCCAUCAUGAGAUAAACUAAACCCCUUUGACUCACAUAUUGUCCACGGUUUGGGUUAAAUCUACAGGGGAAACUACUGUGAUGCAAAGGAAGUGUUGUGUCAUUUGGUUAAACUGUGCUGCUUCCUUUUCCCUUUUUUGUCAUUCCUUGA